CUCCGGGUUCCUCUGGUCAUGGUCCCAGUCCAGUUUCUCCUGGUCCUGAUCCAACUUCUUGGAAGAAGUUCUUCGUCAUCCUGACAGGAAGAACAAAUGGAGCUCAUCAAUCUGUUGUUAAAAAAAUUAAAUCUUUGGGUCAGACUGAGGCGAGGUCUCCUGAAGACGCUGACUACUGUCUGGUUUUCUGUCCCGUCUCUUAUCAAGUUCGAUCAGACGUCAGUGAGGCCAUGGAGCAUCUUCCUGCUGGUAAAGCAGCCGUUCUGGUGGUGAUGCAUCACACCUUCAAUCCUGAACAAGUGAUUCCUCCGAGCCGCAGAGUGGUGACAGACCGGAGAGUCCGACUGACUGUGGACUGUCUGUUCCACCAGAACAAUCUGCUCAGCUGUGAACUCAACAGGAG